rnacentral:rRNA from 1 species
AUUGAACGCUGGCGGCAUGCUUUACACAUGCAAGUCGAACGGCAGCACGGGUGCUUGCACCUGGUGGAGAGUGGCGAACGGGUGAGUAAUGCAUCGGAACGUGCCCAUGAGUGGGGGAUAGCCCGGCGAAAGCCGGAUUAAUACCGCAUACGCCCUUAGGGGGAAAGCGGGGGAUCUUCGGACCUCGCGCUAUUGGAGCGGCCGAUGUCGGAUUAGCUAGUAGGUGAGGUAAAGGCUCACCUAGGCGACGAUCCGUAGCUGGUCUGAGAGGAUGAUCAGCCACACUGGGACUGAGACACGGCCCAGACUCCUACGGGAGGCAGCAGUGGGGAAUUUUGGGACAAUGGGCGCAAGCCUGAUCCAGCCAUGCCGCGUGAGUGAAGAAGGCCUCGG